UCCUGUGUUGUGGCGAUUGCAAGUUUCAGU
rnacentral:piRNA from 1 species